GGGGAAUAUUGCACAAUGGGCGCAAGCCUGAUGCAGCCAUGCCGCGUGUAUGAAGAAGGCCUUCGGGUUGUAAAGUACUUUCAGCGGGGAGGAAGGGAGUAAAGUUAAUACCUUUGCUCAUUGACGUUACCCGCAGAAGAAGCACCGGCUAACUCCGUGCCAGCAGCCGCGGUAAUACGGAGGGUGCAAGCGUUAAUCGGAAUUACUGGGCGUAAAGCGCACGCAGGCGGUUUGUUAAGUCAGAUGUGAAACCCCCGGGCUCAACCUGGGAACUGCAUCUGAUACUGGCAAGCUUGAGUCUCGUAGAGGGGGGUAGAAUUCCAGGUGUAGCGGUGAAAUGCGUAGAGAUCUGGAGGAAUACCGGUGGCGAAGGCGGCCCCCUGGACGAAGACUGACGCUCAGGUGCGAAAGCGUGGGGAGCAAAC
rnacentral:rRNA from 1 species